AAGUCGUAACAAGGUUUCCGUAGGUGAACCUGCGGAAGGAUCAUUACAGAUUGUUCAUGUUGUCGCUGUGCUCGUGGCAAGCAUGUGCACGCAUGAACCACACUCUUCUCAUCCAGCCACUGUGCACCUUUUGUGGACCUUUAGCAGAAUGCGGUUAGAGCCUUUGCGCAGCGCCUAGUUUUCUUUUUUUUAAGCGAAGCGAAGCGACGCGCGCGCUAGACUUGCUUAUACGUUCGCAUAUAUGCUGGGGUUUCACGUUUUUCUAUUAUACACCAUUUAAAAACCUUAGAAUGUAUCCUUAGAGUUGGGACUCGCGCCCUUCUUUAAACAAUGUCUAAUACAACUUUCGACAACGGAUCUCUUGGCUCUC
rnacentral:misc_RNA from 1 species